UACGUAGGGGGCAAGCGUUAUCCGGAUUUAUUGGGCGUAAAGAGCUCGUAGGCGGCCGUUCGCGUCGGAUGUGAAAGCUCAGGGCUCAACUCUGAGAUGCCAUUCGAUACGGGACGGCUAGAGGUAGGUAGGGGAGAGUGGAAUUCCUGGUGUAGCGGUGAAAUGCGCAGAUAUCAGGAGGAACACCGGUGGCGAAGGCGGCUUCCUGGCAUGUUCUUGACGCUGAGGCGCGAAAGCUAGGGGAGCAAACGGG
rnacentral:rRNA from 1 species